UGGAAGCGUCUGGAAAGGCGUGCGAUACAGGGUGACAGCCCCGUACACAAAAAUGCACAUAUUGUGAGCUCGAUGAGUAGGGCGGGACACGUGGUAUCCUGUCUGAAUAUGGGGGGACCAUCCUCCAAGGCUAAAUACUCCUGACUGACCGAUAGUGAACCAGUACCGUGAGGGAAAGGCGAAAAGAACCCCGGCGAGGGGAGUGAAAAAGAACCUGAAACCGUGUACGUACAAGCAGUGGGAGCCUCUUAAUGGGGUGACUGCGUACCUUUUGUAUAAUGGGUCAGCGACUUAUAUUCUGUAGCAAGGUUAACCGAAUAGGGGAGCCGAAGGGAAACCGAGUCUUAACUGGGCGUUAAGUUGCAGGGUAUAGACCCGAAACCCGGUGAUCUAGCCAUGGGCAGGUUGAAGGUUGGGUAACACUAACUGGAGGACCGAACCGACUAAUGUUGAAAAAUUAGCGGAUGACUUGUGGCUGGGGGUGAAAGGCCAAUCAAACCGGGAGAUAGCUGGUUCUCCCCGAAAGCUAUUUAGGUAGCGCCUCGUGAAUUCAUCUCCGGGGGUAGAGCACUGUUUCGGCAAGGGGGUCAUCCCGACUUACCAACCCGAUGCAAACUGCGAAUACCGGAGAAUGUUAUCACGGGAGACACACGGCGGGUGCUAACGUCCGUCGUGAAGAGGGAAACAACCCAGACCGCCAGCUAAGGUCCCAAAGUCAUGGUUAAGUGGGAAACGAUGUGGGAAGGCCCAGACAGCCAGGAUGUUGGCUUAGAAGCAGCCAUCAUUUAAAGAAAGCGUAAUAGCUCACUGGUCGAGUCGGCCUGCGCGGAAGAUGUAACGGGGCUAAACCAUGCACCGAAGCUGCGGCAGCGACACUAUGUGUUGUUGGGUAGGGGAGCGUUCUGUAAGCCUGUGAAGGUGGCCUGUGAGGGUUGCUGGAGGUAUCAGAAGUGCGAAUGCUGACAUAAGUAACGAUAAAGCGGGUGAAAAGCCCGCUCGCCGGAAGACCAAGGGUUCCUGUCCAACGUUAAUCGGGGCAGGGUGAGUCGACCCCUAAGGCGAGGCCGAAAGGCGUAGUCGAUGGGAAACAGGUUAAUAUUCCUGUACUUGGUGUUACUGCGAAGGGGGGACGGAGAAGGCUAUGUUGGCCGGGCGACGGUUGUCCCGGUUUAAGCGUGUAGGCUGGU
rnacentral:rRNA from 2 species